rnacentral:rRNA from 1 species
UAAAGCAAAGAAGAGCGCAGAGUGAAUGCCUUGGCAUUGAGAGCCGAAGAAGGACGUGGUUAACUGCGAUAAGCAGCGGGGAGUUGUAAGCAAGCAUUGAUCCGCUGAUUUCCGAAUGGAGCAAUCCGCAUGAAGUAGUUCAUGCAUCCAUAUGUAAAUCAAUAGCAUAUGGAGGGGAACCGCCUGAACUGAAACAUCUAAGUAGGGCGAGGAAGAGAAAUCAACCGAGAUUCUGUGAGUAGUGGCGAGCGAAAGCGGAAGAGGCUAAACCAUAGGUAGCAAUACUUAUGGGGUUUCGGACAGCAUUUAGUAUUGAUAAUUUCUAGUUGAAACGUGUGGGAAAACGUACCGAAGAGUGUGAGAGUCACGUAAGCGAAAGAGAGAAUCAGCGAGCUGUAUCCAAAGUACCGCGGGACACGUGAAACCCCGUGGGAAGAUGGGGGGACCAUCCUCCAAGCCUAAAUACUACCUAAUGACCGAUAGCGAAUAGUACUGUGAAGGAACGGUGAAAAGAACCCCGGGAGGGGAGUGAAAAAGAACCUGAAACCCUAUGCUUACAAGCACCGAGAGCACGUCAAAGUGUGAUCGGGUACCUUUUGUAGAAUGGUCCGGCGAGUUAUUGUAUGCGGCAAGGUUAAGUGCUUAAGGCACGGAGCCGAAGCGAGAGCAAGUCUGAACAGGGCGAAAAAGUCGUAUGCAAUAGACCCGAAACCGAGUGACCUAUCCAUGUCCAGGCUGAAGUGGAGGUAAAACUCCAUGGAGGGCCGAACACACGUCCGUUGAAAAGGCCGGUGAUGAGGUGUGGAUAGCGGAGAAAUUCCAAUCGAACUCGGAUAUAGCUGGUUCUCUCCGAAAUAGCUUUAGGGCUAGCCUCGUGAAAGAUUACUGGAGGUAAAGCACUGAAUGGGCUAGGGGUCGAAAGAUUACUGAACCCUAUCAAACUAAGAAUGCCAGAUAAUUGAUUCACGGGAGUCAGACAAUGUGAGAUAAGUCUCAUUGUCAAAAGGGAAACAGCCCAGACCCACAGCUAAGGUCCCUAAACAUUGUUAAGUGGAAAAGGAUGUGGGGUUGCAUAAACAACCAGGAUGUUGGCUUAGAAGCAGCCACUCAUUAAAAGAGUGCGUAAUAGCUCACUGGUCGAGUGACCCUGCGCCGAAAAUUCAACGGGGCUAAACAAUGUACCGAAGCUUGGGAUUCUAGAUUUAUCUAGAGUGGUAGGAGAGCGUCGAAUAAGGGGUGAAGUCAGAGCGGAAGCGCUGGUGGACUUUAUUCGAGUGAGAAUGCCGGAAUGAGUAGCGAGAAUUAUGUGAGAAUCAUAAUGGCCGAAAAUCUAAGGUUUCCUGAGGAAGGUUCGUCCGCUCAGGGUAAGCCGGGGGCUAAGGCGAGGCGGAGACGCGUAGCCGAUGCACAUACGGUUGAAAUUCCGUAGCCACCGAAAGAUUUAAGUACAGGGACGCUUUAGAAGUGAUGUAGCCGGGCGAUGGUUGACCCGGUCGUAAGGGAUCGAAAAUGAGUAGAGAAGUCAUCAUGGAAAGAGACAAGAAAAGCUGUAUGAAUAUCUUAGGUGCCCGUACCGCAAACCGACACAGGUAGAUAGGAAGAAGAUUCUAAGGCCAACGGGAGAAGGGUUGUUAAGGAACUCGGCAAGUUGACCCCGUAACUUCGGAAUAAGGGGUGCUCACGAGAGUGAGCCGCAGAGAAUAGGCCCAGGCAACUGUUUACCAAAAACACAGGUUUGUGCUAAAUCGAAAGAUGACGUAUACGAGCUGACGCCUGCCCGGUGCUGGAAGGUUAAGAGGAGAUGUGCAAGCAUUGAAUCGAAGCCCCAGUGAACGGCGGCCGUAACUAUAACGGUCCUAAGGUAGCGAAAUUCCUUGUCAGGUAAG